GUAGUCAGGUCCAUCAGGAAAAGCUCAAGACUUGAUAACGAGAACGGACCAUACGAAUGGAUAAGCCUAAGAACCGAUGAUUACUCGGCCCUUGUUUCAACACCGAUUCUGACCAAAAAAAGUGCUUUUUUUCUUUUGUGGUGGUGAUGGCCAAUGUAGAUUUCACCGGAAUGAAUCAGCAUACUGCACAGACUGCGAAGGCUUAGUCAUUCACGUAUAGAAUUUUUUUCCUUAAUACCCUUUUGGUUCUCAGUGAUUUGCAGUUCAUAUGUGGUCAUUGUCAAGGAUCACUUUCACCUGCCCAUAAUGAGAUGAACUGGGGCUCUUAUGGCUGCCUUCCACUCAAAACAACAUGCAGCAUGGAGAAAGGAUGACCUCUCAGAAAUUUCUAAGGCAAAUCAUUAUAUUGAAUUUAUAUGAAAUCUUCAGUUCAAUCUUGGGUAUCUUUCUGAAGUAUUGCCAUUACGUAUCAGGCUUCUGAUGGUUAACUGUGUGUUGUGGCCCCUGGGAGAUUUACAAGAAGCUGCUUGCCAAGAAUUCAUCUUUUGUGCAGGUGUAUAAUAUGAGCUAUGCAUGACCAUCUUUUAGUUAUCUAUGGUUUCUAUCAAGGACACUGUUGUAGCAAUCCAAAAAUGAGAGGUUAUUGUUUCCAUAGUUUUUUGCCUAUCUGAAUGAUAAAAAUCAGCAGGAAAAUCUGUAAGGCAGAAUGAGACUUACCAAUGGCAAAAUCCUUGAGCACUUCACUGCUAUUUUGCCGGAACUUACGGUGCAUCCAACCUAGUAACUGCAUUAAGAAGUCAUUUGGUGGUUAGCUCAUGAAGCAUUGAGGAAGAUAAUUUUCUUUUCGAAGCAUAAAGAGUACUGUUUUGUAAAUAACCUUCAUGUCCUUUUUUUCUCUUCAGAAGACCUGAGCUUUCUUCACUUCGGCUAUGAUGAGAGAAUAGGAAAUAACUUACUUUUCACAAUUAGAAGAAAAGCUGUUUAUAAAUGAGAUGUCAGUUGCUCACUGAAAGUCCCCAACGCCUAAGAUGAAGGUGGCUGGAAAGAAACACAGAGAUAGUUACAAGCUUUGGGCAUUAUCAAGAUCAGAUCAUGUGGGCAAAUUGAUGGUGGGACCUGGACCCUUCCAGCAGAUGAUAGCGUGCUCAAACAUACUCUGCAGCAGUGAAUGAAAAGGUACACAUCUUCACUUGAGCUUUUUCUGUCAUCCUGUGUGGAUGCAGAUUUUCCACGGGAAAUGAAUUCUGGCUGAACCCCAUCAAGCUGGUGGGACUAGGAUUUCUCCUUUAGUUGAAGAGAGGAAUUUUUGGGACAAAAGUAUCAAGCCAAGAGAAAGGGUCAAGCAGGUGGUGGAUAUCUGGUGAUGAAGACGAUGUUUUUUCUACUGGACAACUAAAUCUCAACCAAAACUGAAGACAGAUCAUGGCUUGAAAUUGACAGGUUCUUUAUCAAUCUCUCCUGGCAAACAACCUGAGAGGCUGAGACAACCCAUGCUAUACAACAGAUGUGCUCCUUUUUCUAGUUUCUAUUUGGAUUUCAAUCCUCAUGCAUGCAGGGCCUCCUCAGAUUGUCCUGUAAUAUUGGCCUCAUCACACCUCAACAUUCGUAUACUUCUCACCACAAGAAGGCAAAUUUUUCUAUGGUGAAACCAAUCUAGACUUUUUUCCUUAAGUUCGUUUCAUUCAUAUGAUUUGCCACAAACUUCAGUUUGUACAACUAGCUAGUUCUUUGAUUUAGGCCACAAAAUUUUUACACUUUGCAUGUCUUGCAUGCCUAAGAAAGUUGGACUCUCGUCAAAUAUAGAUUUUUUUUUUCGACCA